rnacentral:rRNA from 1 species
CAGCCGCCGCGGUAAUACGUAGGGUGCAAGCGUUAAUCGGAAUUACUGGGCGUAAAGCGCACGUAGGCGGUUUUGUAAGUCAGAGGUGAAAGCCCGGAGCUCAGCUCCGGAACUGCCUUUGAGACUGCAUCACUUGAACGUCGGAGAGGUGAGUGGAAUUCCGAGUGUAGAGGUGAAAUUCGUAGAUAUUCGGAAGAACACCAGUGGCGAAGGCGGCUCACUGGACGACUGUUGACGCUGAGGUGCAAAAGCGUGGGGAGCAAACAGGAUUAGAUACCCGCGUAGUCCCUGUCUCUUAUAC